AACGAACGCUGGCGGCAGGCUUAACACAUGCAAGUCGAACGCCCCGCAAGGGGAGUGGCAGACGGGUGAGUAACGCGUGGGAAUCUACCCAGAACUUCGGAAUAACUGAGGGAAACUUCAGCUAAUACCGGAUACGCCCUUAGGGGGAAAGAUUUAUCGGUUUUGGAUGAGCCCGCGUUGGAUUAGCUAGUUGGUGGGGUAAAAGCCUACCAAGGCUACGAUCUAUAGCUGGUCUGAGAGGAUGAUCAGCCACACUGGGACUGAGACACGGCCCAGACUCCUACGGGAGGCAGCAGUGGGGAAUAUUGGACAAUGGGCGCAAGCCUGAUCCAGCCAUGCCGCGUGAGUGAUGAAGGCCCUAGGGUUGUAAAGCUCUUUCGGCGGGGAAGAUAAUGACGGUACCCGCAGAAGAAGCCCCGGCUAACUUCGUGCCAGCAGCCGCCGUAACAC
rnacentral:rRNA from 1 species